ACGACCAUAACGUUGAAACACCGGUUCCAGUACAAUCAUCGAAGUUAAGCAGCAACGGGCCUGGUCAGUACCUAGAUGGGUGACCGUUUGUUAAUACUAGUGUUGCAGA